rnacentral:rRNA from 1 species
GAUGAACGCUGGCGGCGUGCCUAAUACAUGCAAGUCGAGCGAACGGACGAGAAGCUUGCUUCUCUGAUGUUAGCGGCGGACGGGUGAGUAACACGUGGAUAACCUACCUAUAAGACUGGGAUAACUUCGGGAAACCGGAGCUAAUACCGGAUAAUAUUUUGAACCGCAUGGUUCAAAAGUGAAAGACGGUCUUGCUGUCACUUAUAGAUGGAUCCGCGCUGCAUUAGCUAGUUGGUAAGGUAACGGCUUACCAAGGCAACGAUGCAUAGCCGACCUGAGAGGGUGAUCGGCCACACUGGAACUGAGACACGGUCCAGACUCCUACGGGAGGCAGCAGUAGGGAAUCUUCCGCAAUGGGCGAAAGCCUGACGGAGCAACGCCGCGUGAGUGAUGAAGGUCUUCGGAUCGUAAAACUCUGUUAUUAGGGAAGAACAUAUGUGUAAGUAACUGUGCACAUCUUGACGGUACCUAAUCAGAAAGCCACGGCUAACUACGUGUCAGCAGCCGCGGUAACACGUAGGUGGCAAGCGUUAUCCGGAAUUAUUGGGCGUAAAGCGCGCGUAGGCGGUUUUUUAAGUCUGAUGUGAAAGCCCACGGCUCAACCGUGGAGGGUCAUUGGAAACUGGAAAACUUGAGUGCAGAAGAGGAAAGUGGAAUUCCAUGUGUAGCGGUGAAAUGCGCAGAGAUAUGGAGGAACACCAGUGGCGAAGGCGACUUUCUGGUCUGUAACUGACGCUGAUGUGCGAAAGCGUGGGGAUCAAACAGGAUUAGAUACCCUGGUAGUCCACGCCGUAAACGAUGAGUGCUAAGUGUUAGGGGGUUUCCGCCCCUUAGUGCUGCAGCUAACGCAUUAAGCACUCCGCCUGGGGAGUACGACCGCAAGGUUGAAACUCAAAGGAAUUGACGGGGACCCGCACAAGCGGUGGAGCAUGUGGUUUAAUUCGAAGCAACGCGAAGAACCUUACCAAAUCUUGACAUCCUUUGACAACUCUAGAGAUAGAGCUUUCCCCUUCGGGGGACAAAGUGACAGGUGGUGCAUGGUUGUCGUCAGCUCGUGUCGUGAGAUGUUGGGUUAAGUCCCGCAACGAGCGCAACCCUUAAGCUUAGUUGCCAUCAUUAAGUUGGGCACUCUAAGUUGACUGCCGGUGACAAACCGGAGGAAGGUGGGGAUGACGUCAAAUCAUCAUGCCCCUUAUGAUUUGGGCUACACACGUGCUACAAUGGACAAUACAAAGGGCAGCGAAACCGCGAGGUCAAGCAAAUCCCAUAAAGUUGUUCUCAGUUCGGAUUGUAGUCUGCAACUCGACUACAUGAAGCUGGAAUCGCUAGUAAUCGUAGAUCAGCAUGCUACGGUGAAUACGUUCCCGGGUCU